rnacentral:misc_RNA from 1 species
GAACGCACAUUGCGCCCGCCAGUAUUCUGGCGGGCAUGCCUGUUCGAGCGUCAUUUCAACCCUCAAGCCCCCCCGGGGGCUUGGUGUUGGGGACCGGCCCCGCCCCGUCGCGGGUCGCCGCCCCCUAAAUACAUUGGCGGUCUCGCCGCGGCCUCCCCUGCGUAGUAAUUGCAACCUCGCACCGGAGCGCGGCUCGGCCACGCCGUAAAACCCCAACUUUCUAAGGUUGACCUCGGAUCAGGUAGGAAUACCCGCUGAACUUAAG